rnacentral:tRNA from 1 species
AUCCCGUGUCUUGCUAUAGCAACAGUUUCCUAAUCUGGGGGCGCGCGUUCGAAUCGCGCCGGGAUCACCA